AUCAUCAUCAUCAUCAUCAUCAUCGACAUUUCAGCUACACUAGCUGAUUAGCAAGAUCCUAGGAUCCACCUGUCUCCACUCCAUCAGCAUUAAGGUUACUGGGCUAAUGUUACUGCAUGUAGUCUUUAUGUGGGUGCUGGGGAAUCAUCUCCCCAGCUCCUUCAUGGACUUAAAAACAUGCUACCUUAUGAGUUCUAUACACCAACUCUUGCUAAAAUUUCUCAAAGUGAAGCAUCUGGCUUUCAGAAUGAAGUGGAAGAACAGGAGAGGUCAUCUCAAGUUAUCCCGAGGACAAUGUUGUGAAAAGGACAUCUUUGAAGAAAACCCUGAACAACACUUCUUAAAGAAGAUAAAGCAAAUCCAAUUUGUUCAGAUGCCUCUGCUGUGCUCAGAGAUAAAUCACAUCGUUGUACUUUAUCAGCAGAUUGGUGGGCAGUUUAACAGCUAAAAACUGAAAACAAACUGGAAAGGGACUCUGGUGUCUCCGAAGAAUACGUUGUUUAAUGUGG
rnacentral:lncRNA from 1 species